rnacentral:rRNA from 1 species
AUUGAACGCUGGCGGCAGGCUUAACACAUGCAAGUCGAACGAGCGGCAGACGGGAGAGUAAUGUCUGGGAAACUGCCUGAUGGAGGGGGAUAACUACUGGAAACGGUAGCUAUUACCGCAUACCAUCAGAUGUGCCCAGAUGGGAUUAGCUAGUAGGUGGGGUAAUGGCUCACCGCGGCGACGAUCCCGAGCUGGUCUGAGAGGAUGACCAGCGACACUGGAACUGAGAGACGGUCCAGACGCCGACGGGAGGCACGAGUGGGGAAUGUUGCACAAUGGGCGCAAGCCUGAUGCAGCCAUGCCGCGUGUGUGAAGAAGGCCUUCGGGUUGUAAAGCACGUUCAGCGAGGAGGCGGUACUCGCAGAAGAAGCACCGGCUAACUCCGUGCCAGCAGCCGCGGUAAUAC